GGGGGUAAAUCCUUAGAGCCCCCAGCGUGGCCGUGUUAAUAGUGGUGUCUUUGGCCGGGCAUCAUGGUUAGUGAAUC
rnacentral:ncRNA from 1 species